AGCGAACGCUGGCGGCAGGCCUAGCACAUGCAAGUCGAACGGAUCCUUCGGGAUUAGUGGCGGACGGGUGAGUAACACGUGGGAACGUGCCCUUUGGUUCGGAACAACUCAGGGAAACUUGAGCUAAUACCGGAUGUGCUCUUCGGGGGAAAGAUUUAUCGCCAUUGGAGCGGCCCGCGUCCGAUUAGCUAGUUGGUGAGGUAACGGCCCACCAAGGCGACGAUCAGUAGCUGGUCUGAGAGGAUGAUCAGCCACACUGGGACUGAGACACGGCCCAGACUCCUACGGGAGGCAGCAGUGGGGAAUCUUGCGCAAUGGGCGAAAGCCUGACGCAGCCAUGCCGCGUGAAUGAUGAGGGUCUUAGGAUUGUAAAAUUCUUUCAGCGGGGACGAUAAUGACGGUACCCGCAGAAGAAGCUCCGGCUAACUUCGUG
rnacentral:rRNA from 1 species